rnacentral:tRNA from 1 species
GGGGAUGUAGCUCAGUGGGAGAGCGCUUGCUUCGCAUGUAAGCCCGUGGCUUCAAGCCCCAGCAUCUCCA